CGUACAAGAACACCAAUAGAGAACCUACAAGAAGAAUCAAGACCAUGUAUGCCAACAGCACAAAUCCUAUGUAUUUGCGGCAACCCUUCUUGAGGCUAGUGGUAUUAGUUGAUGGUGUUACCGGGAUUGCCUCUUCUAUCUGCGACUCAUCUUGCACGAUGUCGAAAGGAAAAAUAUAUCGACAUAGCGAGGACUGUAGUUAGGGUUGCUUGGCUUCAGCGCCAUCAAGGCAGCAAAGCCAAGUACAUCAACGAUAACAAAAUAGGACAAGUGAAUCAAAAGUGGGCUAAGAUGGAAAGCAAUGAACUGAAAAAUGAACACAGAUGAAUUGCUGACAUGCCUUGCAGAACUAAGAAAAGUAUGCAGCCGGAUAGGCAUUGGAGUUAGAUAGAUGGCAGUGUGCCUCUAUAUCUUUGAUGUAUGUGCCUUGAUUCAGCAGGCAACUACAAGUACAAGUGAGCAAUGGAAGUAUAUAUACAGCCCGGUCAAAGUUAGUGGACAAGCAGACAUGGACAAUGCGGUUUGAGAUGCCUUCCAUAUUUUCUUUUGGAAAAAAAGAUACCUUUCAGAACUUAAUGCUAUGCGUGCGGGUGUGCAGACGAGCUUAGAAAAGAACAGUUUGAAUGCGUGCUAAAUUUUUGUCCCACCAUUUGCCAAUUGUCAUGUUUCUAAAGGCAACUAUGACCAGCUCACCAGAGUAGGCAAGUGAAAGUGUUGUUUACAUAGAAGGCAAUUUGCCAAUUGCCAUGCCACUAAGGCAACCUUGAUCAGGUGGUGUAACAGUUCUGGUGGUGGAAUUUCCUGGAAUUUAUGGUAAACUUUUUUUUGGAUGGAUGUAAGAUCACCUCUGAAUUUUGCAUUGUAAAGUGCAAACAAGAUCACCUCUGAAUUUUGCAUUGUAAAGUGCAAACAAGAAUGUGCAUGAGACGAUUUUGGUACUUUGCAUUUGGCUCUUCCCUUGAAGACAAUUUUCCCCAUUGCCAUGCCAAUAAGGCAAGCUUGAUCAGGUGGUGUAACAGCUCGUAUGUUCUGGUAGUGGAAUUGCCUGGAAGUCAUGUUGAACUUUUUUGGGAUGGAUGUAAGAGCACCUCUGAAAUUUCAUUGCAAAGUGCAAACAAAAAUGUCCAUAGAGCGAUUUUGGUACUUUGCAUUUGGCUCUUUCCCUGAAGAUGUCCAGCAAUAAUGAGUCAGAAAGUGAUUGCAGCUGCUAUGCUGCAAGGACACAGAGCAUGUUUAGCUGUAAUGGAACUCAUGGCUAGGAAGUAUUCUAUGCCAUGCUUCAAGGGAAAUGUACAGACACAAGUGGACAAGAACCUUUCUCAGUUAGUCCCUUUCUAGUCAGUUCCCUGCUCAGCAUGGUACAUCGCAAAUCCAGGAUGUAGUUACAUCUUGAUUGGUCCUAAGCUGAGGAGGUAAGAUGAGUCCCAAGGUUAUUCGAGUGCAUGCGGCUAGGAUUUCUCUACUCAAAUUUGUGCUCAAAUGGAGAGUGUUGCUUGAUUGAAAUCUUGAGGUGAAAUCUGUAAAUGUUACUGACUGAAGAUGCUAAUGGAUUCACCUCACUUUGGAAGAGGACCCCAGAGAAGGUUCACUGAACUUAAUAGCUCUACCCCUUUGCAUGAUUUGGUGUUUGUUGUGACUUUGGCUUCUAUGAUGGCCUUUUGUGUUCUAUUUGUACAGUUAUUUCUUCAAGUGAAUCAUUUGUGCAGUACUCAGACUGAAUAGCGCCUCAACAAAAUAUGCCGAGGUAUUGUUCAUUAUUUUCAUGCAGACUUUAGGCUUCGAUUCCAUAAUCAACUAACCUUUGUUCAAAGCCAUCAAGGAAACAAAACCAUGUACGUUGAUGAAAAAAAAUAGGACAAGUGAAUCAAAAGCAAGCUAAGAUCGAAAGCAAUGGACUGAAAAGUAAACACAGAUGAACUGAUGAUAUGCAGCUGGCUAGGCAUUCGAGUUAAAUGGAGUGGUUCGAGCUCUUUAUAGUGUAUGUUCCUGGCAUUUACAAGUGAAAUUUUAUCAAUGGAGUAUUGGAGUAUAUCAUCAGUUCUUAAUUUUUAAUCUUUGGAAAAAGAUACACUUCAGAAUUUAAUGUUAUGUUUUAGGAUCAUGCACUGACAUGCUCAAAUGCACGCUAAAGCAGCAUAGAAAGAACAGUUUCCAUGUGUACUAAAACUUCCUCUCACCAUUUGCCAAUUGUCAUCUUUUUAAGGGUAACCAUGACCACAUCACCAGAUUAGGCAAGUGAAGGCUUUGCUUCCAUACGAAGACAAAUUGCCAAUUGCCAUCCCGCCAAGAGCAACCUCGACCAGGUCCCCAGACUAGGCAAGUGAAAGUGUUGCUUACAUAUAUGUAGAGAAAUAAUGGCACAACAUCUAGCAAGUGCUACUGGUAGUGGAGUUUCCCAAAAGUUAUGCCAAACUUUUAUAAUAUUUAAAUGGAUAUAAGAGCAUCUCUGAAUUUCACAAUGCAAACAAGAAUGUGCAGAAAAUGAUUAUGGAACUCUGCAUUUGGUUCUUCCCUUGAAGAUGCCCAGCAGUGAUGGUCAGAAAAGUGAUUGUGGUGCUAUGAAACAAAAUGGUGACACGCUGCAUGUUUAGCUGUGACUGAACUCAUGGCCAGGAAGUGUUCUAAUGCCAUGCUUCAAGGGGCAUGCAUAGACCACCAGUGGACAGGAAACUUCCCUCAGUUGGUCACUUUCUAGUUUGUUGCUUGCUAGCCAUGGUACAUCAUAAAUGAGGCAUGCUGUUGUUACAUCUUGAUUGAUCCUUAGCUGAAGAGGUAAGAUGAGUCCAAAGGCUAUUUUUGCGGAUACAACUGGGACUUCUAAUAGGGCCGACAUACUCAAAUGAUAAUUGUUCGGAUGGAAAGUCAUUGCUCACUGAAAAUUGAGGUAAACCUGUUAUUGUUAUUGAUAUGGAGGCAAGGUUCAGUGAUUUCAAUAACCAGCAACUGAAUGGCUCUACUGCUUUGCAUGAUUUGUGUGUUCGCUAUGACUUUGCCUUCCCUGGUGGCCUUCCGUGAUGUGCAUGUACAAUUAUUUCUUCGCAUGAACUGAUCACCACAUGUUCACGUCCGGAAGCAAUUAUGUGUUAGUGCAAAACUCAGACGUGUUAGCUGGAUCUUCAUGCUUGCUCUGCCUGUUGACUAGUCAGUAACUCGAUAAAUUGUGGAACGCCUUUUAAAGACCUCAACAAAAUAUACCAAGUGAUGCAGGCAACUAUCACAAAGAUGAUGUUACACCCGAGCGGUGAGAAUACCAAAUUCUGCACCAACGACCCUCUCUUGCCUUUUGUGCUCGCAUCGGUGGUUUUAGUAUCUCCAUUGGGUGGUGCAAAUGUUGCUGAUGAUGGCAAAUACCUGAGACCAAGAAGCAAAUUGUCGCACAUGAAUUUGAGAUUCCAAAGCAAUACUAUAAUGGCAGGGGACAUGAGCGAGCAGUCGAUGGAAUUCUCCCCAGAGUGCCUCGCAUUCACCACCAUGAAGAAUGCAUUGACAGUCUUCUGAUAAGAGCUGAGCCCAUCAAACACUGAAGAGUUCCAGUCAACAGCGCAAAACAGCGUGACCCCAGCUGCUGCAAGGCCAACAACCGUUGAGGAGAGAAAAACAGUCCGCAACCCAGGAAGCAAAUUAGCGAAAUGCACUUCCUCAGGGUUCUUGAUCAUGAGCCUCAGCUCCUUCACCUUUGUGAGCUUCCCCAGGAACCAUACCAGUAGCCUCAGGAAGAGAGGGAACAAUGUAUUGCCUGCGAGCAUCUGGCCACUGAGCAGCAGCAAGAGGCCUGAAUUCUUUGAGAAGAUGACCAUGUUCUCAUUUGUCGGCACGAGUCCUGCAUUUGCAAAGGAGGAGACGGUGACUGAUAGUGAGAAGAGCACGAUGUUGAUCCCUUUCUUGUUCAGUGGGGCACUUGCAGUUGGCACAUGAGUUAUAUACAGAAAAACCAGCAGAAAGCCCAAGACAUGGAUCACAGCAAAGUACCCAAAGAUCACAUGUCCGAAACACUUGACAGAUUCAGUCCUCUUCAACUCUGUACAUUUCUUUGGUGGAAUUGCAUGAGCAGCUUCUUCAAGCUGCGACUCAUCACAUAGUGCCAUGCUGUUGGCCAAGUCUAGCACUUCAAGCUCGACAGGAACUGAGCUGAUCUUCACGCUCGGAAGAUCUUGCAUGUCUUGAUGGUUCACUCUAAGCAUGAGGCCUAAGAGCGAAACAAAGAUCUCCCCUCCUACAAGCAUGAGCAGUGUUAGGACCACAAUCUGAGAGCUCGAGAGGUCCUCCAUCUUGACGGUGCUGAGGCCAGAAACUGUUAGAGCAGAGGUUGACAAGUACAACAUGUCAAUAUAAGGAGGGCAGAACUCAGGAUUGCUUGGUUUCAGCGACAUCAAGAGGACUGAACCAAGUAUAGCCAUGGCAAGGAAGUAGGACAGUUGGAUCCAGAAUGGAUGAACAUGCAAUGCGACGAACCGAUAGAUAAAAACCAUCGAAUCGACAACAUAUCUACUGAUGCGGCUGAAGCUAUGCAGCUUGAUAUGUAUGAAAUCCUGGUAAAAUCUUUUCACCCGGCCCAUGGUGCUAUAUAUGAGUGAGAAACAAAUGCAUAUGUCUGUGACAAGAUAAGUCUCGUAUUGGUGCUACUUAUAUGGGUGCACUGGAUCAUUGGCUUGGUACCAUGAGCAGAUCAAUCUAGUCCUAUGAUUCUAUUUCGGGUUUUAAAAAUAAUUUGCACUUGGGUGUUCUUUCAAUUGAGCUCAGGGCAGCCGGCCGGUGAGUUAUUCAUAUGGUGCACAAUAAUCACAAUAAUGCACCAAUGUUUAUUGGACGUUGACGAAGAGUAAUAUCCAUUGUAGCAUCUCAGAGAGUCGGUCCCAUGUGCAACUGCAGGAAUGUGUGCCCAUAUAGAAACGGACCAAUCAGGAGGGAGAGACUUCAAAUAAUUGCAUAUGGUCAAGCUGGAAUUCCGGUCAAGCUACAUCGUACACACUCACAUGUUAGCAAGAUAGCAACUUCAUGCUAUAGCAGACUGGGAAUCUAGGAUCAAAGCAUAUUCUGCAUCCGUCCCACUUCCAAAUCCAGAAAAGUUAGAGAAUAGGAUACGGUAGCGUUAUCCGUUCGAAUUUGGUCUGGUUUCACCCCUGGUGCACUGCAUCAUUAGCUUGGUACCAUAAAUGAGGAGACCAAUUUAAUCCUAUGAUUCCAGUUCUGAUUUAAAAAUUGAUCAUCAGACAGCCAGCCCAAUAGAAUCAUGUUGCACCCUCAAUCAAUCAAUAGCGUAUUUUUUUCCUUUCCCGAGAAAAAAUAUUGUCACUCACAGUCAUACACUUGAUUAUGUUUGUCUUCGCUCACAAUUAUGCAUUCAUGUUUAUUGGACGUUGACAAAGAGUAAUAUCCAUUGAAGGAUUUGGAGAGUCUUGACCAUGUGCAACUGCAGGAAUGCACAGCCAUACAAAAAUGGACCAAUCAGGUGGGAGAACCUUCAAUAAUUGCAGGUACAUAUAUACUAGUAAUACAUGUUAGCAUACUCAAUGUUAAUAGUAGACUGGGAUCAAAGCAUGUUCUGCUUGCUCGUACUGUCGUACAAAGAGACUGGGAUAUAGUAGAUGGAUGAUACAUCCUAAAUUGCUUCUUUGCAUUUCGACGUUUCUUUCAGUUGAGCACAGGACAGCCGGCCGGUGAGUGAUUGCGUACGGCGCACAUGCAUGUCCACUUUCUAUUCGCCGCUGACUAGUCCCGAAAAAUGUAUCAAUUGGGGCCCUUUUUAUUUCUGUAUUAUUGGCUAUCACCAAGCUAAAUCUCACAUGCCCUGUCUUCAGUUUCUCUUAUGAAACUGUGAUGGGGCUUUGGGUGUUAGUUCAGCAAGUUGCUUGAAAUACUUGAAAAUGUGUUCUUGAUUACUUCACAAUGUUCCGACUUGAGCCUCACCUUGCCAAGUUUCAUGCCACUUUUCUUCUUGGAUGCAAGUCCUCGAGGGUACUACAUAUGUUGUCAGGGAAUUGUUCUGAAGUUGGAUUGGUGGUCAUGCGGAGUGAAAAAUCUCAUCCUUCAGUUUAUUGGAUUGGAUAUGCUGAUACGUGCAACUGUGGAAGGUUGUACCCCUCUUGUACUCAUUUCAUUCCCUUCUAUCAAUGAAAGGUACGCAAGCUUUACAUAUUCGCGAAAAAAUAGUUAUAAACAGACGAUGCAACUAAAAUACCGACGAUACCAAGCUAGGACAUGAUUUUGAAAAUGUUACAACAACUUUCUUUGUGUUUUCUUUGGAGGAAUACUGAAGCUUUCAUGAGUAAUAGGUUUUGCUGCUUGGCUUGGGUACUACAACGAGAUAUUGCCCGGCAAGCUUACGGACACAAAAAAGGCUGUGAAAGACAAAGCACAAGGUGUCUUCAUGUCACAAAUUGCUUCUGCAUGUACUGGUUGAUUUUAGUAAGAUCACUCCAAUUUUCUUGCAAUGAUUCUGACUCUGCCUGCUUUCCCUGCAGGGUUAAAGUUUAUUUGUCUUAUCAAUCCCUGCAAUUUGGAUGAAAUAGAAACAGUUUUGGCAUUGAGUGAAACAUCUCUAAAUUAAAACUUACUCAACUGAAUCGGAUAAACAUAGGUUUCUGAAUGAAUGGAAUGUCAUAGCACAAACGAAUCUGCUAUAAAUGCAUAUUUGGCUUACAUGUUUAUGAUAAUGCAAAAGCUAGAGAGAGAGAGUAACCAUAGUUUAACACAAGGUGGAUAGGACCAUGGGAUUGAUCAUGAGAUAUUGUCAUAGUUUUAAAUAGCGCACUAUAGCGUUUAGAGAGAUCCGCUGCUAAGAGGCAUAGCCUGCUAUUUAAAACUAUGACAGUAUCUCAUAUGCACCUCGGAUUUGCUUUAGAAUUGUUCUAUUGUAUUGCUCGCAUGUUCUAAAAUGUUUGAAAUGCUCUUUGCAGACUGACUUUCUAUGUGGGGGGAGGCUCAAUUGUUUCAACACAUUUGAAAAGUUUGUGGAUUGUAAGAAAAAGUAUGCUUAUUUGAAAACUGUUCACGAAUUUGAAAAGAGUCAAUGGCUUUUAAGGA